AAAGCGUAUACAAAGUCGAGUCGGUUUAAGGAUACGUUCGUUGGGUAGGGGAGCGUUCUGUAAGCCUGUGAAGGUGUGUCGUGAGGCAUGCUGGAGGUAUCAGAAGUGCGAAUGCUGACAUAAGUAACGAUAAAGCGGGUGAAAAGCCCGCUCGCCGGAAGACCAAGGGUUCCUGUCCAACGUUAAUCGGGGCAGGGUGAGUCGACCCCUAAGGCGAGGCCGAAAGGCGUAGUCGAUGGGAAACGGGUUAAUAUUCCCGUACUUGGUGUUACUGCGAAGGGGGGACGGAGAAGGCUAUGUUGGCCGGGCGACGGUUGUCCCGGUUUAAGCGUGUAGGUGUGUGUUCCAGGUAAAUCCGGUUCACUUUAACACUGAGGCGUGACGACGAGGCACUACGGUGCUGAAGCAACAAAUGCCCUGCUUCCAGGAAAAGCCUCUAAGCAUCAGGUAACAUCAAAUCGUACCCCAAACCGACACAGGUGGUCAGGUAGAGAAUACCAAGGCGCUUGAGAGAACUCGGGUGAAGGAACUAGGCAAAAUGGUGCCGUAACUUCGGGAGAAGGCACGCUGACACGUAGGUGAAGUGAUUUACUCAUGGAGCUGAAGUCAGUCGAAGAUACCAGCUGGCUGCAACUGUUUAUUAAAAACACAGCACUGUGCAAACACGAAAGUGGACGUAUACGGUGUGACGCCUGCCCGGUGCCGGAAGGUUAAUUGAUGGGGUCAGCGCAAGCGAAGCUCCUGAUCGAAGCCCCGGUAAACGGCGGCCGUAACUAUAACGGUCCUAAGGUAGCGAAAUUCCUUGUCGGGUAAGUUCCGACCUGCACGAAUGGCGUAAUGAUGGCCAGGCUGUCUCCACCCGAGACUCAGUGAAAUUGAACUCGCUGUGAAGAUGCAGUGUACCCGCGGCAAGACGGAAAGACCCCGUGAACCUUUACUAUAGCUUGACACUGAACAUUGAGCCUUGAUGUGUAG
rnacentral:rRNA from 1 species